UACGUAGGGGGCUAGCGUUGUCCGGAAUCAUUGGGCGUAAAGAGCGUGUAGGCGGCCCGGUAAGUCCGCUGUAAAAGUCAAAGGCUCAACCUUUGAAUGUCAGUGGAUACUGCCGGGCUAGAGUCCGGAAGAGGCGAGUGGAACUCCUGGUGUAGCGGUGGAAUGCGCAGAUAUCGGGAAGAACACCCGUGGCGAAGGCGGUUCUCUGGGACGGUACUGACGCUGAGACGCGAAAGCGUGGGGAGCGAACAGG
rnacentral:rRNA from 1 species